rnacentral:misc_RNA from 1 species
GAUGAAGAACGCAGCGAAAUGCGAUACUUGGUGUGAAUUGCAGAAUCCCGUGAACCAUCGAGUCUUUGAACGCAAGUUGCGCCCGAAGCCAUUAGGCCGAGGGCACGCCUGCCUGGGCGUCACACGUCGUUGCCCCCCCAUCUACUCCUUCGGGAUUGCGGGGGGCGGAUGAUGGCCUCCCGUGUGCCUCGCCGCGCGGUUGGCAUAAAUGCCAAGUCCUCGGCGACGCACGCCACGACAAUCGGUGGUUGCGAAACCUCGGUUGCCCGUCGUGUGCGGUCGUCGCGCAUCGAGGGCUCGAAAAAAUUGCCGGGUUCCGGCUCGGCUUUCAACGCGACCCCAGGUCAGGCGGGGUUACCCGCUGAAUUUAAGCAUAUCAAUAAGCGGAGGA